CAUCGGGAAGUUGCGGUUCCGGCCGAUGGCGCGCGCGGUGCGGGGCCCGGGGGAGGCGGGCGCUCCGGGCCGCUCGCCGCCUGGGUCGCGGGGCCUGGGGUGCUGGCAGGCGGGGGCCCGUGGCCCGUGCUCGCGCGUAGGGAGGCCCCUGGAGCUGCGGGAGGAGAGGGCCGGCGGGCCGGCGAUGACCCAGCGAAUUUAGAAAUCGGCAGUGUGGAAGGAAACCGGGGACAGCCACAGUUGUGUGGACGUUAAGCAGCACUCCUCAACUAACCGAACAAAGGAAAUCACGAGGAAUUAGAAGCCUGUGAACGAAAAACACUAAAGCUUGCGUGCUGCAGAUGGACAUUUGGGUUGUUUUGGAUUCUUAUGAAAAGUGCUGGGUUUCCUGGUGCCCCUGAGCUGGAGCCUGAGGGUGGAGCUGCUGAAUCCCAGAAUGCAGAUGUAUGGGGCAACCCCAAACCACGUUCCUGCGGGGCUGUCUCAGCUUGUACCCCCACCGUACCCUCGGCAGCCCUGCACCACGCUUUCUAGUCUACUGCUGGUCCCUGGAAUGUGAACGGGGUGUCCCCAAGACAAAGCACAGAUGAAGAUGACACUCUCACAGGAGAUCAGGACGGUUGCCUUUCUGUCCUGCCGAAUACGCUCACAGCAGUUCUUCCUGAUGGAGCUGCUUCUGUGUGAUUCGCGCGGUUGCAGGGCGCAGCGCAGUGGGCUUUGUACGGUCCCCACAGGUGCCAGAACUUUUCAUCCCGAGAAAGGAGCCAAGGGACCGUCACCGCGCCCACUUCCCAGUGUAAUGAGGUGACAACCACCAGAGGGGGACGUUCCCCCAGCGGGCUCCCCUAAGUAAAUAAUAAUCUGGGUACAUUCGUUGAGUAAUAGCGUAAGUGCCAUGUGGGGUGCUGGAGCAUCUGAGGUGUGGGAGCAGUGCUGGACUGCAGGAGGCUUCAGUGAAAGCCCCUUAACCACAGUGAGAAUGGGAAAUGCAAUUUUCUCUCAUCUGCUUUGGGAGUCUUCCACCUGCUGAUGGGCAGGGAAUAAUUCCAGUGCUUUCACUCUCCUCCCAGGCCUCUGAAGCAAGAGGCCUUUGAUUUAUACUACGCUGUCAGAUAGCUGUGCAGGGAGAGAAGGCCCCUCGGUAAUUUGGAGCUUCCUCGUGCUGCUAAUGCAAUCAGGAAGCUGGCCCUUUAUAGAAUUAGAGGGUGCGUGCAUGCUCGGAGUUACUAGCCUGUCACCCUGCGUGCAGUGGGAACAGGAGGCGGGAGGGAUGGGGAGGCUCUUUGGGGGCGGAUAGCGAUUAGUGGGACUUAGCCAACAAUGUUGAAACCUGGAAAUCAGGUUUUCGGACAUAAAUUUUAGUAGGUGAGUUCUCCAAACUGUGUUCUCCAAACUUUUUUCUGGUUCCGUCCUCUCCUCCGGUGGCGAGCUCUCACCUCCCACUGCCUGUCCUUAAGGGGUCCUCAGCUCAGUACCUGAUUCCGUUUAGUGCCGGUCCUGUGAACUAGGAGGUCCUCUUCUCCCCAUUUUCUAGGUGAGGAAACUGACGUUCAGAGCAGGUGUUUGGAAGGGCGGCGCUCGGGUUCUGGUCUUCUAACUCCAGAACUCUCUUGAUGUACUUUCUCAGAAUUGUCUGCAUCCGGAGACACAGGGCACCUGCUUGUCUGAUACAUACGCUACCCUCCUGCCAUGGCGGCUUCUUCCUGGGGAAGAGGGUUGGAAUGAAGAAACCCAAGACGUAGAUUUCCCCGCAUCACGAAGUGUUGCAGUUUUGGGAAAUUCACGUACCAAGUAAUUGGCUUUGGGAGGGAGGACAGAUAGUGUUGUAGAACCCUAGUGCAUAAGAGGGGUCUUAUUCCUCCUCUUAAGCAACUGCUUAAAAUGCUGGGGGGGGGUAUAAAAUGCAUUAAGAAAUAUUUGUUGAGGAAGUAAAUAAAUGGGUAAAGCAGAUAAUAAACAUAGUAUCUGGCCCUAAAGAACAAACAAGAUCAUAAGAUGAGGCAUUACAAACACCACAGUUUGACGCAGAAGCUGGUGUGGCGCUACCGUCAGCCCUGAUUAUUUGCAGUUGCUGCAAGUGUUGAAGACCCUCCGGAUGCAGGUUCUCUGGCUUGCAGUCUCUUCUGUCACCACACGGGGGCACAGUUGGACCUUUGAAAAUUAUGUGUGCAAGAUGAAAUUUAUUUCUCUGUAUUUAUAGCAUCCUCCAAAUAAAAAUGGCGAAACUUAGUGUACUAAACAGGGAAAGAGAGGGAUCAGGCUUUAACGAGAGAGGUGUGCUGUCACUGCGCCCAGAGGGGAAGAGGUUUAGGAAGGGCCGGAUUAACACCUGAGAGUUCUGGGGGACGGGAAAUAGCCUGUUGGCCUGUGCGCCCAGGUGAGGGGCAUCCCGAUUGUGCACCCCGGUGAGGGAACGGCAGGUACCUGUGCGCCCAGG